UUCCUUUGAAGAAAUUUUGAUGACAUGUGCCUGUCUUCCUCUGAGCCUGCAUAUAGCCCAGCCCAACAAAUAGAUUCAUAGAGAAAACUUGAAGGGAGGUUGCAAUAGUGUUUUCAGAGGACCAAGACACACACCAUACACAUUCAAGAAUCAACCAGGAAAAACACUAGUGCCCUUCUGGAUGUCAUUUUGGUUGGCAUGUCGUAGUGUACAAAAUGAAUAAUUUUCGAACAAGUAGUGAAUCUAUGUGCAAAUGCAAAAGACUAGCUAGUUCAAACGAGUCUAAUAUACCACAUACGUUUGCAUCCAUCAGCCUUCACAUAGCAUAAUAGCAAUAAAAUGCAGAGAAUAUCAUAUGUGGUUGUUAGAUACAUUGUAUAGAGUAAAACUUUCUUUUAGGGGAAUGUGCAGAAAGCCAGAAAUGUAUCAAAACUUUGCAUAUAGGUAAUAUACCAAUAGCCACAGUUUUUUGUAUCAUUCUUGCAUCUAAAUUUCUAUUCAUGGAAAUAAAACUACCUCACUCAUGCCUGAUGCCUCUAACCUUUAAUCUGCUAGAAAGAGCAAAUCAUAUCAUCACUUUAGAAAAGAAAAGUCAUCAUUGGUAUGACAAAAAAGCCAACAAAAUAUGCCCCUCUUGUCAGGAAGCGGCACUCACCUCAGAAAUCCAUAAAGAACAAUUUAAAAAGAAUGAACUUUUGAAAGUAUAGGUCAAAAUCAUAUUUUCUAAACCAUAAUAUGGAAUGAAGGUGUGCUUUAAUGCACAAAUAACAUUUUUUUGUACACAUCCACACCAAAUAACUUGCGACUCUAGUAGGGGCAUAAAGUUGUCGAUGUAAAUGACAACUCACAAUUGGGUUUUCGCUACACAUGUACGCCUAUAUUUUGUAUAUAGACCAAAAAAAAAAUUCAGAUCGAUUUUUUUUUUUUUAAUGGCAAUUGGCAAGUGGGGUUGAGGGGACCUUGCCCCUUUAAAUUACGUGUGGAAACAUAUAUCAACAAUCAGCUGUUGACAUGUUUCGAACCCACAACCUCCCCACUUUGUGAGAGGGGUGCUACCAUUGGGCCACAAGCUCAUUUGCAAUUACCAAAGCAACUGGAGCAAAUUUCGAAAUUCAUUGCACAAGUUUUGUGAAAGACCAUGUAAUAAGAGCUGAUCAAGUAAAAGGAAGAAAAAGAAUAUAAUCUAUACCAGUAUACCACGAAACACCACAUUCAUAAUAGAUAUCUAAACAAGGUCUCUGUCUAACAAAUAUAACAAACAUAAAACAUCAAUAUGUUUAAUUCACCAAAAUUGAGUUACCUGACUGAGAACGCUCCUGCCAAUCUGGCUGCCAAAAUUGUUCUACUUGAUUUUCUUCUUUGGCCUCAGCUACAUUUCAAAUCCUCGCCCCAAGAAAAACAAAAGAAAAAAGGAAAGACAAUAAUGAGAAACAACACAUUUUCACCCCCUCCCCCCCUUUGCAAAUUCAACACAUGCAGUCUGAAGAAUCCAAGAAGAGUUCAACACCUAAAUGUACCUGGUUGCUGUGUCCACACUUCUUGUUCCUGACUUCCUGCAGUUCACAGCAUGGGUAUGCAAGCGAGCAUAACACCUAAACCACGAUGCCAUCAAAUUCGCCCCAAGAUCAGUACAGUAUAUCUCAUAAUAGGUUUACAUACUAUCUUGGACAAAUUUAUAUAUAACAAAAAUCAGUACUGGGUAAAGUAAAAAUUGAUGUACCAAAAGACCAAUUUUUUCGAUAAUUAAAACUAUGUGAAAAAACUACUGUUUCUAAUCAAGAUAAAGAUCAAUCUGAGUUAUCGAAUAAAUGAUUAUUGAUGAUGAAAUGAAAUUGCAGGCAUUCAAUCAAUAACCAAAAUGCAUAUUGGCAUGGUAGAUAACUCUCCUUGUACAGUAAAAUGGAUCUAGUCACAUAUGUAUAAAUGGCUUCCCUUCAAUCAAGCAUGAAGACUUGAUAUUCUC
rnacentral:lncRNA from 1 species